rnacentral:lncRNA from 1 species
CUGCUGCAUGGGUUGCACGGGUGCAAGCGCCGUCUCCAUUCCGAUUACGUCAUCACUAAACAAAGGCCUGUCGUUAUUGGCACCGCCGCCUCCGGCCGCGCCGCCCAUCAGCACAGCAGUGCUCAUGAACGGCUGCGGAUACUGGUGAGCCGCCGCGGCCGCCGCCGCCAUUUGCUGUUGCUGCUGUUGGAAGGCGAGGAAGGGCACCGACGCAACGAUCUCGCUGGCAGCGGCUGCCCCGUGGGCUGCGCCCUGCUGGCCGGAUACAGUGAGGCUGUGGUGGGCGACGGCGGCGGGCACGCCCGAAACGGCAAUGGGCGCCGCAGGACAGGCGCUGCCAUGGCGGCGGGGCUCCGCUGGGUUCGGCACCAGGGUAUUGGCCACUGGGUGGAAGCAGCAUGGCACAGGAUGGGUGCAGGUGGAAUUGAUUAUAUGGGGUGGGGCAAGAGGUGCGGGAGACCGAGGGCGCAAACCGGAGACGGCACAGGGAAUUGUGGAGCGCGCGACUCACUGCUGACAGAGGCGUUGGCUGCGUUGCCACGCUGCGUGCUGCCGCCAUCCUUCUGGUGGCGUGAAUUGAGGGUGCUGAGGUGGAUGGAGGUGGAGAUGGGCAUGGGCUCCACGCGCUGGCCCACCCACCAGGGGCCGUCGUCGAACAGCUGCAGGCAGGGCGGAGUCAACAUCGCGGCAUGGUGGGCACAUGCAAACAGCGGCCAGAACGAACCCAGGGAGGAAUUGCCAACACCCGUGGCCGAAAUUCGCUAGGGCCACUCGCGCACAAGAUGCAACUGUAAACGGCGGCAGCAUCACAUGGUCUCCCAAAGCCUCCUCGCGCCUCCCGCAUUGCGCAUUGCGCCAGCCUACUGCGUGCCCAUUCCCGCCAGUCCCUCACCAGCCCCUCUGGUGGCCAAGCCGCGCUCACCUCGGGCAGAGCCAUGGUCUCAUCGCGGCACGGGUUGAACCACGACACCACGAAGCCGCCCAGCAGGCCGCCGGCGAUUGCGAUGCCCAUGGUCACCACGCCCGCAAGCACCUGGUAGCCCAGCUGCUGGCGGCCGGUGUCGUGCUCCAGGUAAUCUGAGUGCUGGCCCAGAGCCGCCAAACCAGCCACCAGCGUGCCGACGAUGGCGGGGAUGCCGUGCAGGUUGUGCACACCUGGGUGCGGGGACAACGUCGAUGCGGGCAAUGGCAGGGCGCAGCAGUCAGUGAUGGCCGGGCGGGAAAGAGGCGUAGAGUUGUGUGCACACACAAAACUAAUGACAGCCUCACCGCAGGUGUCGCCCAGUCCGAUGGUGCGGUCCAGGAAGGGCAUGAGGUACUGGAAGCCCAGGGUGCUGAUGGCUCCCGCGCCCAGGCCCACAGCCAGCGCGCCACCCGGCGUCAGGCGCAGCGUGCAGGCGGCGCCCAUCGCCACGCCACCGGCCAGGGUGCUGUUCUGGAUGUGCACCAUGUUGAAGCGGCCGCCCACCAGGGCCGAGGUGGCGAACACCGAUAGCACCGCCCCCAGCAGAGAGAGGAGGGUGUUGACAAUGGCUAGGAACUGGGCCGAUUUCUGUGCAAGUGGACGAAGCAGGCGGACGGACAGGCGGAUGCCGCAUUCAGAACAUGGAUUGGGGGAGAGGUUUGUAAAUACCAGCCCAAAGUAAACCAAACCCUACGCAAAUCGAGAGGGUGGGUGUACUAGUGCUAGUGCUUCGCCCUCCCCUCCCCACCCCGCCCCGCACCACACCACACUGCACCAAACCGCACCGCCCGCGCACCUCGGCGUAGGUGGCGGACGUUUGGUUCGCAUACGCCACGGAGGCCAGGGCGCCGUUGAAGCUGGGCCCUGCGGCCGGUGUGCGGGUACGUGGUGAGGGACGUGAAGGCUGGGCAAGUGCAGCGGUCGCGAGGGCCGCAAGACUAGGCAGGGAUAGCAGGGGAAAGCAAGGUGCUGAAGCGCAGACAACGAUUGCCAGCACGGCCCAUUGGAACUGAACACGAAAGCCAGCCUGCGCGAGCUAGCUGGCACGCCGCGGACUCACAGUAGAUGAAGAGGAAGAUGGUUCCGAUCAUGGAGAAGAUGUCGUUCAGGUAGGCGCCCGAGUUCUUGGGGUUGUCCAGGCCGUGCAGCGGCUGCCUGUGGGGGCAGCACCAAGGACAAUAACACGAGCACUGAGCUAGGGGCAAGGGCACAGCAUCUGUGUGCGCCCCACUCCCUCGGGCCGUCUUGGGCCGCAUCUGUGUGCGCCCACUCCCUGUGUGCCUCCCUCCCUCCCUCCCUCGUGCGUAUCUCACUUGCGGCUGAUCAUGAGCGAGGCUGCCAAUCCGUAGUAGGCUCCGAACAGGUGGAUGACGAUGGUGCCGCCCAUGUCCAGCGCCUUGAAGGUGUGGAUCACCAGCUGCUGGUUGAGCGCGUACAGCGGAACCUGAAGGGAGGGAGGGAGGGACGGGUGGAGAGAGGCAGGGUUGAGCAUACGGCUGAUACGGUAACCCGGGAGGCGCCUUUGGCAAUGCUUACUGCCCCAGAGUGAGUCAACACGCGGACCUAUGCGGACCUCGCCGGUUCAUUAGUCGCGCGUAGGUGUCAGUAGAGUAUCUAUGGCCGUUGACCCUCGCGGUGGGGGGCGCCUCGGUUCGGUGGCCCUCACCCUCCCCUCCCUCCGUCCGCCCCGCCCCAAUGUAUCCCGUAUUGCCCCGCCCCCCCGUGUAACCCCUACAUACAGCAGAAGACUGACGGGGACAGGCCCGGAGGACGGAGAGGGGGACGAGAUAGCGUGACCUCAGGGAGGGGAAAAGAGAGAUCUACGAGAAACAGGGUGGUAUGAGACAGUGACACGACCUAGCACAUUCUGACACGCACCUGCCAGAAGAGCAGCCACAGGACCUGGGUGGGCGUGGCCUUGCCGAUGAUGGCGCCGAAGGCAAUCAUUCCGGAGCCUGCAACGUCACAGGAGCGGCGUUACCCUGACUUGCUAGUCCGGAGGGGAGGGGAGCGAGCGAGCUUGCUGCUGUGCCCGGCGCCGUGCUCCGGCUGAGUGGCUGACGACCCCGUCAACCCACCAUUCGACCACCAGCCGCCGCCACACGCCCCCGCCCCUGCGCGCUACACGACCACUCGGCAUGCGGCAGCCCAAGCGCAUGCGGCUCACCGGCGCAGAAGGCGCAGUCGAUCAGCAGAGCCAUGUCAAUCUGGAUCUUGGUGCGGUGAUAGUUCCAGAACACUUGCUGCGAGGUGCGUGACGGCAAGCCGGUACACGCUCAGAACAUGGUCUCCCAAAUCCGACUCCUUCCAAAGCAAUGGCGCGGGCUGUGCCGCUUUGCCAUCCCGGCACAGUGGCACACACGCCACCAACAAGUCUGGACAGCGCCACGACAUGCGCGCACCUGCGUGGCGCCGAUCAUGAGGAUGGCCUCCAGGAACAUGAGCGCCGAGGCAAAGUAGUUGAGCGAGACGGCGCCGUAGCUGUAGCGGCGCAUGAAGGUCAUGAGGAAGCCGAAACCAAUGAAUAUCAUGACCUGCACGUCGAUAAAAUACUUGUAGUACCGCUCCACCUGCUCCUGCGCGUUUUCCGCCAGCUCAGUGUACUGCGUCAGACCGAAGAAGAGGCCUGCGGGUGCGUACGUCCGUGCGUGGGGGCGGGCGGCAGGGUCGGACCGUGUCGGACGGGGUAGUGCAUGCACCGGCAGGGUAGGCAGGGGGUGCAUGUCAGGGAAUGAAGUGGAAAGAGAAGUAAUUACAACCUGCCGAGGCAGAUGGUGUAGGUUGAGGGAGCGGGAAUGGUGGUAACACCCCCGCAGGGGCACCCCUGCUGCGCUCCCGCUACCAAGGCAAUCAUGGAAUGUUUGUGUGGCGGUAGUAGCAAGAGUCCCGGUAGGCAAGGGUGCACCAAUGCCGGUACGUGGAGUACAUACGAGACGGCUUACCAACGAUGACCGCCGCGAUCGCAAUGACCGACGGCGCGAAGCCAGUCCGUAGCUGCGGCUCGCGCGGAGGCAAGCCGACAUGACUCCAAUCCAGGGAGUGCCUGCAAGGUUGCAAGGGCGAGCCAUGGCAAGCAAGGAGCUCAUAAUGGGGGCUCAAGUUAUCUGAAGAAAGUGCGGGUAGCAUGCGCGCUAUGGCUUACCGGCGGCUGGCCGCCCCACUGGCCAUCGCGGUGGGGAUUUUGAGCACGGAGGACAUGAUGUGUAUGACACGCAGCCUGUCGAGGCACGAGUGAGUGAAAGUCAAUGAUAGUGUGUUGCAAGGACGCAACAAUGACAAGCUGUCCAUGGGCGGGGCGUUUCCUUAUGCGGACCUGCUAACGGAAAAAAAGCGCAGCCUCGUGCUGACCGAUCGUCGACGUGACAGCAUUCACGUUGAUGAUAUGCUCAAAAGAUACGUAUGGGCAAAACGACUACGAGCGUGACAAGACGCUCCCCGGUAAGACAAUUGCGCCACGAGGGCCGCACGCGACCGCGCCAGGUCUUCCGCGAGCACCCGGGUCCCGCAUUGCCACUUGCCAAGCGCUGAAAGCCCAUCCAAGGCUGGAAACAAACUCGUGGCAAUCGCGCGAAAAAGCUGCCGACGCAUGCGUCUCGGGCAGGACAAACUAAACGAGCACACGACGUGAGGCAGGAAUCCUGAUCGGCGAGACGCACCUGGGAGUCGUGGACUGCUUCGCCACCUGUAGGUGACGUCGAUGUCAGCAGCGCCAAGUCAGCUCGUGAAAUGGCUCCCAAAGUUCAGACAAAAACUCAGCGCUUCAACUACGUGGGGGAACUGUCUACGUGUGUAUAGUCACACCAGUUAUUUAUUGACCUGGGCGAAGCCAAAGCUGGUAAAUUGACGGGAAGAUGAACCGUACCCGUCCACCUGAAAGGAGGAGGGGAGAGGAGGGUGCAUAUGAUCAUGACCGACCGGGUGACCUAGGGCCGAUUGAUUUCCUUUCAAUACAGUAUACCGUUUGCGAGCGCAAGCCGAGUCUCGGUGUAAUCCUGCCUUUGCUUCCGCUGAUAUUGUCGGCCUUCUGACCUUCGCGCUUCCAGCCCUGUAAGUGCCAUUUGUUGUGGAUAUAUUACCACGUGCAUGGCAGGUACUGGCAAGGAGGUGUCGGAACGUCUUGCGACGACCUGAGUGCGCAUUCAUCGGCAUGUCGUCCGUGCCGGAGCAGUCAGCCGUAUGCGGUCGGAACCGGCAUUGGGUACAUAAUGGCGCUUUGAUUCAGCGCCGAGUGCUCGGGUGCUCGGGGAAGUACAGCUAAAGAAAAGACCGUGCACAGGGUGGCGCACCUGGGGGACCUAGCCAGAGCGCCCAUUGCGUUAGCUCCGGCCCCGCCAGUUCCAAGCUCCAAGCCUCGGCGUGCGCGUGUAAAAGCGGCCAGAUACUGGAUAAGGAGUGGUGUAGGAGCGUGGCUGUGAAAGUUUAUCAUAUGGCAUAUGACACGCGCGGGAUGCUGGGAUCCCAUCCUUGGAAACGAUCGACCAGACCCACCCUCCCCCGCCGACUUCACCGCUAAGGUCACCGCUGCUGUGGCUGUAACCGCGCUACUGCCGUUUCGACUGCAUCCCCCUCGGACUUCGGCUUGCCAGGCCUGCUGGCCAGGCCGCGCCAAAUUGACAGAUUGACUUCUACGCCAUGCUUGUGCGGGUAGGUGAAGCAACGCCGUUCGCCCUAUCCCAUCGCACGCACAUGCGGUGUAGUCUAGCCAAGCACACGCACACGCACAGCGUGAGUGUAUACGUGCACGUGCAGUGUCUGCAUGACGUGGUGGAACGAAGCACUGCAACUCCCGCAGCAGACUACGUACGGCACAAUAAUGAAGAUGCUGAGUAUGGCAGGGUCGUGCGCCAUCAAGCGACCUUCGGUGAUGUGCGGUGAAGCCCCGCCUUUUUGUGCCGUUGACUCCAUGACCCCGCUUCCCAUGAACCCAUGCACAGGCAGUGACUAGAAGCGCUGCGUAGCCGGUUACAUAUGGUUCUGGACACAACUGCAGGCUUUGCGGCGAGUCACGAUCGGCAGGUCUGAAGGGAAAGCACCACCAGCUCUCUCACGUUAAUCGAGUAGCACGCAUGGCACACUGUCUUCUGCCCUGCUGUUGUGAACAAAACCCGGUGGCGGCGCCCACCAUUCGCUAACGGUGUCGUACACGGUGGUAUGGAAUACACCGUGGGCCCUAUCCGUGGUACAUCCAGAAGGCCUCACGUAUGAUACAACGCUAGCCCAGCCAAAACAUUCAGGCACAGGCGUGGGCCAACACUUCAAACCCUCAAAACUCAAUGUAGUAUGUACUCUUCUCUCAAGCACCUCGGUUUUGGGCUACGAGCCCCAGCAACAAACCGCAAUCGCUUUACGCCGAGGGAGUGUACUUGGUGGCGAAGGCGAAGGCGUUGUUCACACCAGGGUUGGACAGGUGGUCGUCCAGGUUCUGGAUGGGGCCCUUGCCGGUCACAAUGGCCUGGACGAAGAAGCCGAAGGACGAGAACAUGGCCAGGCGGCCGUUCUUGAUCUCCUUCACCUUCAGCUCAGCGAAGGUGUCGGGGUCGUCAGCCAGGCCCAGGGGGUCGAACGACUCGCCGGGGUACAGGGGGUCCUGCGUGCAUGUGGGAGCAGCGGCGAGCAAAUGCGUCAGCAGGGUACAGCACCUUUCGGCCACGGACAAAGGAUACAGUCUUUACGCAGCAGCCCGUGGCGUAGUUGAUUCAUGGACAUGCCGGCGGUACGCAAGGCACACCCAAGCCCCGCGCAGCUGUCAAGGGAGAGGGUGCAAAGUGCGAGGCGCAUGGGUUGGGGCCGCCUGUGACUUGCAAUCAUCCGUCCCUACCCCACGCCCUAGCCAUCCCAGCUCACCAGGCCCUCGCCAGCGGGGCCGCCGUUAACGCGGUAGCCCUCGACCAGGCCCAGCAGGACGACCUGAGGGGGCAGGAGGGGCACGCAGGGCGGAUGGGAACGUUAAGGUAGGAAAGCGAAAUGCCGGAGAGCAUGGCGGUAUCAUCCCACAGGCAGCCCGUCAAGGGAAGCGCAGUGCGUAGUCGCAACCCUGGCAUGCUUGUUCCCGCAUCCUUGCACAGCCUGGAAGCACUCUUGCACUGCUAGGUGCACGUCUCCCAUGGCCCCACGAUUCUGCGAUAGAACCCCUAUUGCCAAGCAGCUGGUGCACUGUUUCCCGCCACCCGCCGUACCUGCACGGCCAGGGUGGCGACGAUGUUCUGGGCGUGGAUCAGGGAGGGGUUGCCCAGGUAGUUCAGACCGCCCUCCUGAAAGAUCUGGGCGCCGGCCUUGAACCACACGGCCUCGCCGAACUGGACACCGUUCUUCUGCAGCAGCUCGGGAGUAACAAUGCCCAGGGCGCCCAGCAUAGCCCAGCGGGCGUGGAUCAGCUCCAGCUCGCGGUAGCGCUUGAAGGUCUCCGGGUCAGCCGACAGACCGGCAGUGUCCCAGCCGUAGUCGCCGGGGAACUCGCCAGUCAGGUAGGCGGGGGUCGAGUUCUCAGAGUAGGGGCCUGGGAGAGGGGCGGGAAGCGGAAGAGGACAGGGGUCACAUGACUGCAGGCGUAUGCGCUAGAAGUUGGGGUUCAGUCACUAACACAUUCAAGUGGGCACGCUAACGGGCACACGUAGAGUGAGCGAACGGAAAGGGCAUACCGUGUCAGUAGGGAACACGCGUGCGAGGACAACGCUCUAGCUUGUAGCAUAAUCGCAACCUUGGCCUUGCACCCAGGAUUAAGGGCAACGUGCCGACCAACAGGACCUUUCGCGUUCUUUCCGGAGACCUGGCAUCGAGAACCCGAGGCAAUCACACGAACCAGGUUUCCAAGGCCAACGCACUCACCCAGCCACUUGGCGCGGUUGGGGCCAUAGAACUCGAUACCAGCGCCCUUGGGGGCAGCGGCCUGCGCGGCAAAAGCGGACAUGGUCAGUCAGUUGCGCAACCGACCAUCGAGCGCGACAGAAGCAGACCCGGUCAGGGCGCCUAAUUUCCGUUUCGCGCAAGUGAUGAUUGGUACAUGCAUGCAUUUACCUUGGCAGCGGUCUUCUUGCCGGUCGCCUUGCAGGUGACCUGCAGCGCCUUGCGGGAGGAGGCCAGAGCGAAUGCCAUCUUUGCUAGUGGGAGUUGUGAGUGGACCAGAGAUGCGAGAUAACUUGUCCGCUACCUAUUCAGCUUAAAUACACUGGAAUCUCAAGAUCUCUUGCUGCCGGCUUCAAGGACAGCAGGCCAGAGAUGAAGGGCGAGAGGCCACGGUGCCGAGGCCGAGGUCGCCAGACCCCUUCGUCUCCUGCGCCCUGGCCAGCUCCGGCCCCCUCCUACCGUCCCCACUUUUCCACCCGCGGCCCCCUUCCCAUUUAAUUUCGCCUUUAGCAUUAUUGUUAGCUCCCAAUCCCGCUAACUUCCCUUCCCUCCGGCCGCACGCACUGAAUUUGCAACGAUCUACACGCAUGCACACACCCGCGCCUGCUUACGUACCGUACGGUGCCGCAUGCGGCAUGCCAGGUCUCAACCCCACUGCUUCCCGACUACAUUACUAUGGCCUAUGGACCACUGUCACUUUUCCAUUCAAAAUUGUUCCCCAACUAGGUACGGUAACAUCAACCACGUCAAGGUUGCGCACUGCCAAGACCUUCGGCCCCUCCCGCCAACCGCUUGGGCUUUGCGGUGCGUUGUGGCAGGGGUGCCCUCUUGGUUCUGGUUGUUUUCCCUGUGCCAUUACCCUACAAUACCUUUUUCCGUGCACCUUUUUCCGGUGGGGCUGGCAGGGCAUGCGUAGCGGCAAUGACAAGCAGUGCGGCUGUUGACAACUGUGCUGCGUCUGGCUGCGGUUGGCUCUGCUGGGCAUCGCGGUUGCUAGGCACCUGGUUUGGCUAUGUGCCUGUGGAAACCGACCCCGGCUAUGUCCGGGCGAUGAGGUUGUGCGGCCUCAGACUGUGGAAGGGCUCAGCCCCUUUUCCCGUGACCGGGGAACACUUGUCCGUGCACUUGCUUGAGACCAUGUGCUCAGACGGUUUGGUGCGAACGCAUAGGGGGGCGGUCAACCUGGGUUGUUUCACUGCUGGUCGCAGGGGCCGGGGGCACUAGGCUACACAGGAUCUGCUGGCAGCGCUCGUCCGCUAUCUCCCAGUCGACCAACAUCCUUACGGUACGUAUCUGCUAGGAAUCGAAUGGCUGCGUCACAGCGUCAGCUGCCAACUGCUGCCGCGCGCGGGGCAUGUAUGGAUGCCAACGGGGCCAUGGUCUGCAAUCAAGUCACGGCAGAGACGCGGACGAAAGAAAUGGGGAACAAAUUGACCCGGGCCCCUGAUACUUUUGAGUUCUGACAGUAGCGGGUAAGGUGCGUAGUGGCGUGGUUGGGGGCCACGUGGACGUGGCGGGUGCGGGGGCGUGCAGCAGGUUCCGUGGGGCGUCAUGGAAUGCACCUGCUGGGGGGUGGUGCACGCCGGUCCAGUGCGCAGGCGCCUGUGAGCCGCGCCUACGCGCCCCGCUGUGAUGAUGCCCACUAGUCAGCAUGCAUUAGCGGCACUCUGGGUGCCGGAAAUCGACGUGCUCUGGCCACGCGGUGGCCGGGCGAUCGGCUCUGCCAGGAGAGGUGGGACGUGCCGACGUGCCUAGCGCCUGCGUGGCGACUGCACAAAUGGCAUGUACCGGUUGCUUCAUCCACUUGUGCGUACAGGCGUACUUGAAGCAGUCCGGCCGGGCAAAACGCGCGCACCUGGCGCGUGCGCAGGCUUGCCGACAUGUUUGGCGGGUUGGCAUUUCGCUAGGAUUCGGACUACCCCCACCUCAAGGUAGCUUGUUUGUGGUAUUUCACCUGCAUGUAUGUGCUUACAGGGACUUGCAAAGUGAAUGGCCGGUUCUGGGAGCCAUCGCGCGGGGCAAAAGUACACGGUACAGGGUCAAUCGCAUGAUUUUCGGCUUCGCGCCGAAUUGCACACGCGAAAAGUACACGGAAAAUACAGAGCUUGUAAGUGCUUGGAAAAGGCUAAAAUAGCAUCUGCUAAUCGAGGUCUACGCAGCGCAAGUUGGCGCGGGGCCUCGGCGACCUCGCGAACCUGUCUGCACUCCCCCCGGCUCCCCCCCUCGCCCCCUCUCCCACCGCAAACACGCCGCCGCUCCCGCCCCGGGAUAACCAUGGCAUAAUCGGGGACUAAACACUCUGUGGAAGGUCUAGAGGGGGCGAAAGCGGGGCUGUACAAUUCGUUGCACCAUUCGCUGUGCAGUGCUCGCCGGGGGCCCGGAUGAGACCGAUUUCGCCCAAAAGUACAGCCCCCCCGCGCGAAACCUGCGAAGCAAUCCGGCCAUUCACUUUGCAAGUCCCUGUAUGGAGGAAACGACGCCAGGAAAGUGGCGACUUUCAGGCUGACCUUGCGUCGCGCAAGCGAGGGUCGGUCGGGCUGAACUGGGCUGAAAAUGCAAAACAACUUCUGCUGCCCACCCGGAUGCUGCCUGCCCAGUAUGCGACACACGUAGGUCGCAUAAACGUUUUAUAAAUAUACGGUACUUGCAGAGAACCAGACUCACGACGCAGCCCAUGCCGUCGCACGCAGUCCUCGCCUUGCCGCCGCGGGAGAACCAUAGCCUGCCAGGCCCCUCCGACGCGCGCAGCUGCGUGUCCCGGCAUUUCGCACCACUCCUCUAACAAGAGUGACAGCCACCAGCAGCGUACCUCAAGGCAGCGCACAGCAGACAGCACCGCGGUAAGCGAUGCUCGCCCCUGGUGCUCCAGGCACCCAAGGGGUGUGCGUGCUCCUGCGUGCUGCGUGUAGGACGGCCUGGAGCCGUCAGGGGCCGCCAGGGCUGCCAGGUCAAGCGGCCGGUGCGUCGUGAGGCUUUGCUACAUGCCAUGGGCCACACAGCGUAAAUGAACGCGGGCAACCGGGAGUAUGCUACUUGCCCAGACAUCCGCGCAUCCUCUUCCCAUCCCUUGCUGCCGCCCGCAUGCGAUGCGUGAAUGCGAUAGUAACCGUGCAGGUGUGCGACUCCGCUUGCAAUAUAAUACCGGCAAAGGUGCGCCAGGCCGUGCAGUGACACGGGGCCCUGACUGUGCCUCGGCUACCCGAACAGGCCCGCACCUACCCGCGCCAGGCCCGCCACGCCCCCAUGCAGCAUCCUGCUUAGCGCCCAGGCUUCCACACGCCUCGAAACAUGCUUCCAGCAGCCAGCAGGACCAUCUGUCAGCCACGCGAACUGCACAGGGACGCCCCUGCAGGAGUGCGUCCCCGCCUAACACUUGGCCUGGAUCUGGCAGGGGCUACCAGGUCUGGCAACACGCCAACAAGCGCCCGCAUGACGGGGUUGGGUGGUGCAGCUCCUGCGUAGCACACUGCAGGAGAGUCUGGGAAGGACGCGGUAGCGCUAAUACGGUAGCUGACAAUCCAAGCACACCGCCACCUGUCCGUUGCUGAUAAGUGCGCAGUGCUCCAGCGGGGCAUCUGCACCCGUGGGCCGGGCACACGACUUUGCCCUGGUGCGCCAGUGCCCAGACGCGGUCAGGAUACAUAGCGGCGUGGUCCGGGUUGAAAGCGGGCGAGGCCGGGGGGCGGGAGAGUCACAGCAGGUUGGGCCUCUGGGCCAUGCCACCCUGGCUACUUGGACGCUGACGAGAGACACGGGGAACAUCUUGAUGCACGCCUUGCUACCCCUGCUAUCAUCGGGCAGCGCUGCUUUCCUAGUUCAUGCACUGCUGCCCAACCAUGCAGCCAUGCAUGCUCGUCGUUCCCUGCUGCUCAAGCCCCAUGACUACUUUUGCACAAUCACACGAACGGUCAAACCUGGUGUAGGUUCUGGCUUGUGAAUAAUUAGAUGCCCACCCGUGCGCUGGGCAGCCAUGAACAUUGUACGUGAUGGUUACAACAAGACGUGUUAUGCACGCGCUUGCGCUGCACUCCCACAUGGGGGCACUCUUGUGUCUGUGUCCUCUCUUCCGUGCUCCGCACCACUACCUCACCACCGCCUUAAUAACCGCGUUAUGGUACAAAAAGUAACAUGAGUACAAAUCCAGCCAAUGUCAGCUGUAUGUCAAAAUUGAAGGCACAACAUUGUGUGUGUGCAUGUGGCAGUGUAUAGCUCGCAGUACAUCACACAAUAUACUGUGCACCCAGCGUUAGCCACUAGCCUCAAGGGCUAGCGUUGCUCGCUCCGAAUAGACUGCACACACGCGCGAAUGCCCUUAUUAUCCUCAGCAUCCUCGUAGGCUACGAGCCCCAGCAACAAACCGCAAUAGCUUUACGCGGAGGGGGUGAACUUGGUGGCGAAGGCGAAGGCGUUGUUCACACCAGGGUUGGCCAGGUGGUCGUCCAGGUUCUGGACGGGGCCCUUGCCGGUCACGAUGGCCUGGACGAAGAAGCCGAACAUGGAGAACAUGGCCAGGCGGCCGUUCUUGAUCUCCUUCACCUUCAGCUCAGCGAAGGUGUCGGGGUCGUCAGCCAGGCCCAGGGGGUCGAACGACUCGCCGGGGUACAGGGGGUCCAGGCCCUCGCCAGCCGGGCCGCCGUUGACGCGGUAGCCCUCAAUCAGGCCCAUAAGGAUGACCUGAGGGGUGAAGGGGAGGGGAAGGGGGUCAGGUACGGUGACACGGGGCAAGCACGAAAACGAGAAGCACUACUGCCGUGCGCUGGACAGCUGCCGCGGAGUACUGGGUGCCGCUUGCAUGAUUAAGCCUGCUGCAAUCGAACCCAGGCUCUAUCCUGAACCAGUGACACCUGCCCACCCUUGGAAUCCCGCUUCCCACCCGCUCAACGAGUACGACAAAGCAAGGGUCACCUGCACAGCCAGGGUGGCGACGAUGUUCUGGGCGUGCACCAGAGAGGGGUUGCCCAGGUAGUCCAGGCCGCCCUCAGAGAAGAUCUGGGCGCCGGCCUUGAACCACACGGCCUCACCGAACUUGGUGCCGCUCUUGGCCAGCAGCUCGGGGGUCAGGCAGCCCAGGGCGCCCAGCAUAGCCCAGCGGGCGUGGAUCAGCUCCAGCUCGCGGUAGCGCUUGAAGGUCUCCGGGUCAGCCGACAGACCGGCAGUGUCCCAGCCGUAGUCGCCGGGGAACUCGCCAGUCAGGUAGGCGGGGGUCGAGUUCUCAGAGUAGGGGCCUGGGAGAGGGGCGGGAAGCGGAAGAGGGUAAGGGCAGCACACCAUAUCGCAACGGACCCCAGGGCACGUAGCGUAAGCGGAAUGUCCGCCAGGCACUGGAGUCAUUGUAGCGCGGCUGCCCUGGGCAGGUAUGCCGUGAGGUAUGCAUGCCCACUUUCCCCGGACCCCGGGUAUUGGCCCUAACAUGCUCGCGGCGCCAGCACAGAGCGGAAUUGUACUAUGUAUGUGCGUCUGCCCAUGAACAAAUGCGCCCUCCCGCUAGCGUUUACGCGAGCGAAAGCUUUGCACAUGCCCGCCCGGUUCUAUGCCAACAUCAGCACCUCAACCCGCGCACUCACCCAGCCACUUGGCGCGGUUGG